UGUGAGGAAUUGGAAGAAAAAAAGAGCAAACAAAAAAUAAUAGAGAAUUGAAAAUGGUACCAACAAAGUGUAUUGUGUUCAGCUUUGUAGUCAUAAAGGGCCCCCUCACUUGAGUCUCAGGUUAAUCUUUAUUGACAUCGUCAAUAUUCUAGAACAUAUUAGAGAUUCUAGGACAUGAAAUGACCUUCCCAAGGUCACACAUAAAGUGGUUGGGACCAUGACUAGAACCUAGCCAACUGACUACAGAUGUGCUGUUCUUGAAAAUGAAAGACAUACCCCAAAUACUCUGCAGUAUUCCCACCUCAUCCAUGGGCUGCUUUCUUAUGGUGUUAAAGACAGCAAGAAGCAAACUUGGAGCAAACCCUACUUCAUCUCUGCCUUGUCUCCCAUGAAAAGUGUCAUUAAAUUGCAUUUGAUACUGUU